UACGUAGGGUGCAAGCGUUGUCCGGAAUUAUUGGGCGUAAAGGGCGCGUAGGCGGCUUGGCAAGUGGAAGGUGAAAUCCCUCGGCUCAACUGAGGAACUGCCCUCCAAACUGCUUUGCUUGAGGCCGGGAGAGGCGAGUGGAAUUCCCAGUGUAGCGGUGAAAUGCGUAGAUAUUGGGAGGAACACCAGUGGCGAAGGCGGCUCGCUGGACCGGUUCUGACGCUGAUGCGCGAAAGCGUGGGGAGCAAACGGG
rnacentral:rRNA from 1 species